AUUGAACGCUGGCGGCAUGCCUUACACAUGCAAGUCGAACGGCAGCACGGGUGCUUGCACCUGGUGGCGAGUGGCGAACGGGUGAGUAAUACAUCGGAACAUGUCCUGUAGUGGGGGAUAGCCCGGCGAAAGCCGGAUUAAUACCGCAUACGAUCUACGGAUGAAAGCGGGGGACCUUCGGGCCUCGCGCUAUAGGGUUGGCCGAUGGCUGAUUAGCUAGUUGGUGGGGUAAAGGCCCACCAAGGCGACGAUCAGUAGCUGGUCUGAGAGGACGACCAGCCACACUGGAACUGAGACACGGCCCAGACUCCUACGGGAGGCAGCAGUGGGGAAUUUUGGACAAUGGGCGAAAGCCUGAUCCAGCAAUGCCGCGUGUGUGAAGAAGGCCUUCGGGUUGUAAAGCACUUUUGUCCGGAAAGAAAAGCUUGGCCCUAAUACGGUCGGGGGAUGACGGUACCGGAAGAAUAAGCACCGGCUAACUACGUG
rnacentral:rRNA from 1 species